AUCAUUCUAAAUCAAAGAGGGUCUUAAUUAGUAGUGAGCAAACACAUUCGUAAUUGUGACUUUGAUGGGUUUUGAAGUUCUGAUUCUCUCAACCUCUCAGUUUCUAAGUCAGGAACUACUAGCAGGAGACAAAAUGAAAUGCUAGAAAUAGAACCUCUGCGUCUCGAAACAGCAUCCAGGUUUGGAGCGAAUCCCAGGCAUCCGAGAACGCUUUGCAGGCUCUGCGUAGAAACGGGAAGGUCUGGACUGCAAAGACGGUGGUCGCAUCAAUGGAAUCAUAGAGCUUCAUAAGGAGUGAAUGACACCCCUGUUCAAUGAUUCCAUUUCCAAAGGUUCAAGAUGACUGAUUUCUAUUGACAUCAAAAUGAAAACACAGAAAAACUUGAAAAAUUAAGAUGCAAAUUCUGAUCUUGUGCAGAA